AAGAGAAGAAUGUAACGCGGGUCAUUUAACGUUUGAAUGGACCCCGGUUGUGGAAUAUUGUUCUUGAAGAAAUGUUAUGAAGAGUGAUGAACCUUUGUGUGCAACGAACCUAGCUCCUUUUGGUAACAAGCUGCCAGCGAGUUUUCACGGGACGAAGCUGAAUAAAGAACGCCCUGUAGUUUAAAA